rnacentral:rRNA from 1 species
AGAGUUUGAUCCUGGCUCAGGAUGAACGCUGGCGGCGUGCCUAAUACAUGCAAGUCGAGCGAACGGACGAGAAGCUUGCUUCUCUGAUGUUAGCGGCGGACGGGUGAGUAACACGUGGAUAACCUACCUAUAAGACUGGGAUAACUUCGGGAAACCGUAGCUAAUACCGGAUAAUAUUUUGAACCGCAUGGUUCAAAAGUGAAAGACGGUCUUGCUGUCACUUAUAGAUGGAUCCGCGCUGCAUUAGCUAGUUGGUAAGGUAACGGCUUACCAAGGCAACGAUGCAUAGCCGACCUGAGAGGGUGAUCGGCCACACUGGAACUGAGACACGGUCCAGACUCCUACGGGAGGCAGCAGUAGGGAAUCUUCCGCAAUGGGCGAAAGCCUGACGGAGCAACGCCGCGUGAGUGAUGAAGGUCUUCGGAUCGUAAAACUCUGUUAUUAGGGAAGAACAUAUGUGUAAGUAACUGUGCACAUCUUGACGGUACCUAAUCAGAAAGCCACGGCUAACUACGUGCCAGCAGCCGCGGUAAUACGUAGGUGGCAAGCGUUAUCCGGAAUUAUUGGGCGUAAAGCGCGCGUAGGCGGUUUUUUAAGUCUGAUGUGAAAGCCCACGGCUCAACCGUGGAGGGUCAUUGGAAACUGGAAAACUUGAGUGCAGAAGAGGAAAGUGGAAUUCCAUGUGUAGCGGUGAAAUGCGCAGAGAUAUGGAGGAACACCAGUGGCGAAGGCGACUUUCUGGUCUGUAACUGACGCUGAUGUGCGAAAGCGUGGGGAUCAAACAGGAUUAGAUACCCUGGUAGUCCACGCCGUAAACGAUGAGUGCUAAGUGUUAGGGGGUUUCCGCCCCUUAGUGCUGCAGCUAACGCAUUAAGCACUCCGCCUGGGGAGUACGACCGCAAGGUUGAAACUCAAAGGAAUUGACGGGGACCCGCACAAGCGGUGGAGCAUGUGGUUUAAUUCGAAGCAACGCGAAGAACCUUACCAAAUCUUGACAUCCUUUGACAACUCUAGAGAUAGAGCCUUCCCCUUCGGGGGACAAAGUGACAGGUGGUGCAUGGUUGUCGUCAGCUCGUGUCGUGAGAUGUUGGGUUAAGUCCCGCAACGAGCGCAACCCUUAAGCUUAGUUGCCAUCAUUAAGUUGGGCACUCUAAGUUGACUGCCGGUGACAAACCGGAGGAAGGUGGGGAUGACGUCAAAUCAUCAUGCCCCUUAUGAUUUGGGCUACACACGUGCUACAAUGGACAAUACAAAGGGCAGCGAAACCGCGAGGUCAAGCAAAUCCCAUAAAGUUGUUCUCAGUUCGGAUUGUAGUCUGCAACUCGACUACAUGAAGCUGGAAUCGCUAGUAAUCGUAGAUCAGCAUGCUACGGUGAAUACGUUCCCGGGUCUUGUACACACCGCCCGUCACACCACGAGAGUUUGUAACACCCGAAGCCGGUGGAGUAACCUUUUAGGAGCUAGCCGUCGAAGGUGGGAUAAAUGAUUGGGGUGAAGUCGUAACAAGGUAGCCGUAUCGGAAGGUGCGGCUGGAUCACCUCCUUU